AGACUUGUAGCUCAGUAGGUUAGAGCGUCACUCUAAUAAGGUGAAGGUCCCAGGUUCGGGUCCUGGUAAGUCUA